AGUGAACGCUGGCGGUAGACCUAACACAUGCAAGUCGAACGGCAGCACAGUAAGAGCUUGCUCUUACGGGUGGCGAGUGGCGGACGGGUGAGGAAUACAUCGGAAUCUACUUUUUCGUGGGGGAUAACGUAGGGAAACUUACGCUAAUACCGCAUACGGCCUACGGGUGAAAGCAGGGGAUCUUCGGACCUUGCGCGAUUGAAUGAGCCGAUGUCGGAUUAGCUAGUUGGCGGGGUAAAGGCCCACCAAGGCGACGAUCCGUAGCUGGUCUGAGAGGAUGAUCAGCCACACUGGAACUGAGACACGGUCCAGACUCCUACGGGAGGCAGCAGUGGGGAAUAUUGGACAAUGGGCGCAAGCCUGAUCCAGCCAUACCGCGUGGGUGAAGAAGGCCUUCGGGUUGUAAAGCCCUUUUGUUGGGAAAGAAAAGCAGCAGGUUAAUACCCCGCUGUUCUGACGGUACCCAAAGAAUAAGCACCGGCUAACUUCGUG
rnacentral:rRNA from 1 species